UCUAGACCCUAAAAUCAAUUAACUAUGCAAAAAACACUUUCUUAAACAUAAAAAAAAAACUUAGAAAGUGUUUAAAUCAAGUUAUUAGAUAGUUAUUAAACAUAUAUGGGUCAAUUUGAAAAAAAAAAUGAAGGAAAGAUUUCAUAAUCUAACCUUAAAGAUACAUACAAUACUAUAACAUAUGUUAUCAAACCCUAAACCAAUGACUCAUGAGCCAAUAUACAUUCACUCAUCUAUGUUGAAAAUAAUUCAGUUUCAGAUAAACUAAAUUUACAUCAUUGAGAAAUGUCUAUUAUUACAUGAUUUCAAUUUUUUACCCAUCAAAAUAUUUUUUAUAAAAUUAUAAAAUUAUUUUUAAGAUCUACUGAACGAGAAGACUUACAAAGAAGUCACUAGGCUUUUAGGUUACUUUUGCAUUUGAUUGAAUUUGGGGUACACUUUUGUAUUCAAAAUCAAGUUUUGAGUCACUUUUCGCAAAUCCCCCUUUAAAAUAAGUUUGAUAAUAAAUUAUAUUGAAUAACAAAUAUUUGAUAACAAUUUCUAUAUCAUAUAUUAUUUUUGUUUAAUUUUAUAUUAUCGAAAUAAAUAAAACCAUCAUAUUUACUACUCCCUCCGUUCCUAAAAGAUGUAUGUUCUGGAAAAAAAAUUGUUUCAAAAAGAUACAUUUUUUACUUUUUCAAUGUAUGAGUUUAUGAAAAAUUGUAAGUUUCAAAAAAAUUAAUGGUGUUUAUUGAAUUUUUAUUGGCUAAAAGUUAUGAAAAAUUGUUAUUCACAAAAAACAAUUUAAUGAGUUUUCUUAAUAUAUGUGAAAAGUCUAGAAUAUGCAUCUUUUAAAAACAGAGAGAGUAUAUGAUAAAAUAGAGUUUUCGUAUAUAUUAUAUUUUUGAAUUUUGAAAAUAAUUAUAAAUUACUAAAACUCUUAAAAAUCUCACUUUGAAUUUUUUUGAAUAAUAGUUUAAAAUAUUUUGUUAUAAAAAAUACAAGUGAUCGUAAAACUAUACAAUUAGGUAGCAUCAUUUAAUAGAUAUUACAUAUUCAUACUAAAAAUCUAAUAUAUACUAAUUUUAGUGUCAUUUAAAUUUAAUUAUAUACUAUAUAAAUUUAUAAAAAAAAUAAUUUUAACCUUUUAGAAAUAUAUAGUAUACUUGACUUGAUUGAUAUUUAAAUAUUUUUACAAUUUUAACUUGAUUAAAUCAUUAGAAUAUAUUUUCAUCUUUUGUUAUAUUUAAUCAAUAAUUUAUAAAAUAUCUCAUUAUUUGUAAUAGGACGUGGAUUAUUACAUAGUAGUAUUUAUUAUUUUUAUUACUUUAUUCAGUUUCACAUCUUAGGAUUCUGAAAACAAGGGAAAAAGAAAAUAGAAGUAGCUAGUGAAGAAUUUAUUGCCACAUUUAAUGCUCAACGUGUAUAGCCUUAACUGCAACGUUGUGGAGCUUACUGCGUGAUAAAGGGAGACAUCUUCGCAGCUGCUAGCUAAAACUGCGACCAUCCAGUCCCAAUAUCAACCGAAGAAAACAUAACCCGAAGAUUGAUUAUAAUUAUCCAGCUUCUAUUAACUACUUAUUACACUUAGAGCAGGCACAUUAGAGGAUGUAAUGGGGUUCAUGGGCUCAAGUUCCUAGGCCCGAAUUGAUUUAAAAAAAUGAAAAAUGACUUUAAUUCAUUGAACCGAUCCUUAGUAGUGAACUCGUAUUAAGCGGUUCAGACCACGUGUCAAUCAGUCACUGCCUUCUCUUUCCUUCUCCACAUCCUCUCCUCGUCUCUUACAGAAGCUGGAGUUCGGUAAUAAGUCUAGCUUUAGCUUCCUCCACUCUCUCUCCAUCUCUUUCCAUUGUUCGUCCCCUUCUCUCCUCUCUCCUCAUUUUAUCAGAUUCAAUUCUUUCUCCUUUCAUCUCAAUUCUUCUCUGUUUUUUAUUUCUCUUUUGUAACAAUCAGAGGAGAAUGGUGGUGGUCUGACAAAUUGGACCUUAUUUCUUGUGUAUGUUUAUUGAAAUCAAUAUAUCUACUUGUGUGUUUCUUCCUCGCAGUGGUGGUGGUCUGAGAACCGGCGCUUCAUGUAGUUGGGACCUCGAGAAGAUAUGUAAUUUGUUCGCGGUGAAGGGUCCGGUGAGAAGUUCGAGUGCCAAGCUGAGGUUCGUUUCUACUAAAGUUUUGAUUUUUAGUCAUGGGAACUUGAUUUGAAUGUGAAAGUUUGAGACUUUAUCACUGGCAGGUGAGCAGAUUGUUGGAUUUCAUAGUUCAUAGCUUAUAUAGUCACAAGAAUUGAUUGAAUGUGUAUUUUGUAUAUGUUUACAGUAAUGCAAGUGAUGCUUUGAUAAGCUGAGGUUCUUGAGUGUGACAGAGCCUGCUUUGCUUGGAGAUGGUGGUGACAAAGGAAGAACUUAUAGACUGUCUGUCUUGGAACCAUUGCUCAGAGUGGUACUUCCAAAUUCUCGAACGUUCUUAAGGUUUCAUUUUGUAUUCAUGAUUGCUGUUUGUUGUAGUUGUAGAUGCUUUAGCUGUUAACUCUGAUGGUCGUUACUUGACGACUAGAGGAGUUGAUCGCCAUGUUCAUAAGGUCCAAUUUGUCUCAGCUUUUAUGAUUAUGUGUCUACAGGCAUUUACAGGUCACAGGAACACUGUUUUUUCCCUAUGUUUCAGACACAGAACUGCAGAGCUCUACUCUGGUUCAUUUGAUCGAAGUGUCAAGGCGUGCACUUACGGUUGGGAGAGAUAGAAUCAUGCAACUACACAAGGAAGGUAGACAAGGCAGAGAAGCUUGAUGGAGGAGAAGGUGGCAAAAGGGGUGAGUCUUUAGUGGCGAGGACAUUAGGUGUUUAGAGUGGAGAAGGUCCAAGCUCCGGUAUGUGACUAGAAGACGGUGACGUUGGAGAUAGAACUUUGAGAAUUUUAGGUGUAGGUUUAAUUGUUUUUAAAAAAAUUAGUUAAGUUUGAUAUACCUGUCAUAACUAUGUAACCAAUUUCAAUAUAUAAAAAAAUUAAUAUAAAUUUGUAUUUUUAUA